AACAUCAAAAUGCGUGAUUUUUGAACAAAGCAGAAACAUGAACGUUAUGAAUUAAGUGUGUUUGAUCUUGAAAUUUCAGAAGAAAGGUUUAGCUAGAUUCAAGUUCCUCAAGGCUUCUUUAUAGGGGAGAGGGUUCUACCUAAAACCUAUAUGGGUUCCUUUUGGCUGCCUUUUUUUUUCUAAGCGUGUAGUUGUUUAGCCUCGGUGUGGUGUGAAUGCUGGGAUACUCACAGUGGCGUUCUCUGUGAGGGUGGUCAGCAGAGGCAGCUCAUCGCUCAUGGUCCUGGCGAGAGUGUGCACUUCCUGGACCAGAAGAGACACAAACAUGACAGGCAAUCAGAUAGACAACUACUUUUCAUUCAGCAGGCCCACCGAGUGUCUUGCUGACUCGGCUAAUCUGCGAGCAGCUGCAUUACAGCGAGCUGGCUCGGAUGUUCACAUCUUCCUCUCCUUUCUCUCAGCUCCCCCAGCUUUGGCUUCACUUCAGGGACACGGAUGUGAAAAGGUGCCAAAACAUCAGAGAUGUCUGACUGACAGCUGGUGAUUUGAAGUGUGGCAGUUCGAGCUCCUGAACAUUCCCCACUGGUGAGGCACGCGGAGAGCUUAGCGGCACAGGAAGCGGGGGAGGGACAAGAAGCAGGAAUGCGAGCACGUGGGGAUCUAGGCGCAGAAUCCGACUCGUUCUGGUUAUUCUGACGUCAAAAUCUGCCGAGAUUCAGUUUGAGCCAGAAAGACUGAGCUCGCGCUGGUCGAGUUCCAAGAUUUUACGUGCCUCUGACAUCAAAGUAGACGUAUGCAGUGUUAGCAAUGUUCAUUAAUAUUUUCUGGAGGGCAACAUAGGGUCACGGCUGCAAUGGGGAAAUAUAGGCUAAUCCUGUCAGCAAAAUAAUGCUGGAAAAAAUCUGCUGUAAGAUGGAAAAGAAAAAAAAAUAGAACUUGAGUCAUAUUUUAAGAGCUGCUUACCUCAAGAGAGGCGAGAUAAUUAUAAUACAGGACGGAUUUCAAAUACGUAGAUAAAUGUAAACUCAGUUCUUUUUGUACAGCUGUGCCCAAAAGUUUCCAUACCCCUUGCAGAAUCUGAAUACUGUUAACAAAAUAAAUGGAAUCAUAAAAAUCCCAUAUUAAACUUUUGAACAGGAUAAUCGGUGUAAAUAGUUAGCAUUUUGUCUUCUGGGACACAUGUAACUAUCUUAUUUAGGGCGGUACUAAAUGAUCUUUAAACAAAAUAAUAGCAAUUUACACUGAUCAUCCUGUUCAAAAGUUUACACCCCCCGGCUCUUAAU
ensembl:lncRNA